rnacentral:rRNA from 1 species
UACGUAGGGUGCAAGCGUUAAUCGGAAUUACUGGGCGUAAAGCGUGCGCAGGCGGUUUUGUAAGUCUGUCGUGAAAUCCCCGGGCUCAACCUGGGAAUUGCGAUGGAGACUGCAAGGCUAGAAUCUGGCAGAGGGGGGUAGAAUUCCACGUGUAGCAGUGAAAUGCGUAGAGAUGUGGAGGAACACCGAUGGCGAAGGCAGCCCCCCUGGGUCGAUACUGACGCUCAUGCACGAAAGCGUGGGGGAGCAAACAGG